GUGACUGUGGGCUCAGUGGGUAGAGUGUUCAUCUUGCAAUCAGAAGGUUGUGGGUUUGAUUUCAGCUUCCCCCUGCCACA